AAGUCGUAACAAGGUUUCCGUAGGUGAACCUGCGGAAGGAUCAUUACCUUUCAAUGCAGAAGAGUUGAGAUGGUUGAGUAUCUCGCCUCUCAAUUCUCGCUGUAUUUUACCCUUGUUUUUCUCAUACUAUUAUUUCCUCGGCAGGCUCGCCUGCCGGGUGAAACAACUUCAAACCUGUUUAAUUUUCAAUCAGCGUCUGAACAAAUUAAUAAUUACAACUUUCAACAACGGAUCUCUUGGUUCUG
rnacentral:misc_RNA from 1 species